rnacentral:rRNA from 1 species
UACGAAGGGAGCUAGCGUUGUUCGGAAUCACUGGGCGUAAAGCGCACGUAGGCGGAUGUGUCAGUCAGGGGUGAAAUCCCGGAGCUCAACUUCGGAACUGCCUCUGAUACAGCACGUCUUGAGUCCGAUAGAGGUGGGUGGAAUUCCUAGUGUAGAGGUGAAAUUCGUAGAUAGUUAGGAAGAACACCGGUGGCGAAGGCGGCCCACUGGAUCGGUACUGACGCUGAGGUGCGAAAGCCAGGGGAGCAAACGGG